GGUUUUGUGGUCUAGUGGUAUGAUUCUCGCUUAGGGCUACCUAAGCACAAAAUUUGCGAGAGGUCCCGUGUUCGAUCCACGGCAAAACCC